rnacentral:lncRNA from 1 species
UUUUUUUUUUUUUUGUUUUUUGUUUUUUGUUUUGUUUUUUUUUUUUGUUUUGUUUUUUUUUUUUUUGAGACAGGGUUUCUCUGUGUAGCCCUGGCUGUCCUGGAACUCACUCUGUAGCCCAGGCUGGCCUCGAACUCAGAAAUCCGCCUGCCUCUGCCUCCCGAGUGCUGGGAUUAAAGGCGUGCGCCACCACGCCCGGCUGGGAAUGGAGGUUCUUAUGUUUGCUUCCAUCUCAAUUCCUAAUUUCUAUGGAGUCUGUGUACCUUUUGCUAUCAUUAGGCAAUUUGUGCUGCUUGCAAUUGAAUAUGCAACUGUUGUGCAUACAGUGGCACUUUGAGUCACCAGGGCUUUGAGGACGAUGGUGCUCCCAUCACCUUUUGAGAUGGGUUUUAGGUUUUUGUUUUGUUUUGUGUUGCGUUGGGAUUUUUUAUCUAUCUAUCUAUCUAUCUAUUUUGCCUUAAGCUUUUCUUGUCGUAUUUUUAAUAUUUAUUUCAUGUUUAUGAGCAUUUGGCCUGCAUUUAUGACUCCGCACUACAUGUUUGCCUGGUGCCUGUGGAUGCCAGAAGUAGGCAUUGAAUCCUCUGUAAAAGGAGUUACUGAUGGUUAUAAGCCACUAUGUAAGUGCCCGAGCAAGAGCAGCCAGUGCUGUAAGCACUCAACACAUUGUUUAUGCCCUUCCCUAUGUAAUACAGCCAUUAUUCUUCUAUCUACAAUUCAAAGGUGAGGCUUUGCAGGCAGCACUGGGGACAAAAUAGGGAAAGGAUACAUAAAGUUGGAGUUACGGGUAUGGCUGAAACUUGGUUAAGGGUUUAGGGACUUGUUUUACCCUAGGUAUAAGUAAUAGCUGGAGUUUUUUGGUUGGUUGGUUGGUUUUGUUUUUUUAAAGUUUUGUUUUGUGUGACAAUAUGUCACUACAUAGCUCUGGCUAGCCUGAAGGACUCCUUAUGUAGACCAGACGGGGCUUGAAUUUACAGAGAUGGACCUGCCUCUGCCUUCCUGGUGCUGUAUUAAAGGUGUGCACCACUCUGUACAGCUACUGGUGGAAAAUUUUUCAGCAAAAGGGGCAAGCUAUUUAAUAAGUCAUAGGUAGGUCUCAUGUUUAUACUGUGUGACUGUGAAAGAGAUGGAAUUUAGAAAGAGAAGAGCAUAAUGCUAGGGAAACAGGAACUGCAAAUCACCUCUUCUGUCCACCCACCACCAGCUCACCAGUUAAGAACCACUGAUAGUUAGAUGUAGGCUAGAGAGUUGGUUCAGCUGUUAAGAGUACUUGUUCUUGAAGAGGACCCAGGUUCAAUUGCCAGCAACCAAAUGGUGGCUUACAGACUAACUCUAGUCCCAAGGGACCCAAACCCUUUUUCUGACUUCUCCUGGCACCAGGAAUACAAAUGAUGCAUGUACACAUGUGUAGGCAAAACACAACAUGUAAGAAAAUGUAAAUCUUUUUUGUUUUGCUUUGUUUUUUGAGAUAGGUUCUCUAUAUGUAGUCCUGGCAGUUCUGAAACUUACUGUGACACACUGGUUUCAGACUCAGAUCUGCCUCUGCCACUUGAGUGCCAGGAUUAAAGAUGUGCACACCACACCUAAAAAAGAAGUGUCGAGGCAAAAGUUAGUUUUAGUAAAAAUAGGAAUUGAAAACUUUUAUGUUUAGCAGUCAGAAAGAUAGUAGGCUACUUUUUAGUAGGACCUAUUGCUUUGGGGGCUAAGGAUAAAAGUAAGAAUGGAGUAAUUAAAGCAGGUGAUAAUUUCAGAUAGUUAAACAGAACUAAGAGAAUGUCUGUAGGGUUCAGAGCCUGAGUUCAGAACUGCAGUACCAGGUAAAGAGCUGCACAUGGAGAGCCCUGAGGAGCCAGUGGAGCGAGGCAGACCUCUGGGGCUUCCUGGCUGCAGUCAACAAGCAACAGGCCAGUGAGAUACUUUGUCUCCAAAAACAAAGUGGAUGUUGUCUAGGGAGGGAAAAUACUAGAGGUGUAUAGCCAGGCUAACACUCAAGAUGGUUCUCUGGCCUAUACAGAAACACAGGUUUACAUCUUUAGUAAAAUUGUAUUUAAUGUGAAAGUCAGAGGACAGCUUGCAGCAAUUCAUUCUCACCCUACAGAUCUUGGGGAUUGAACUCAGGCCAACAGACUUAGCAACAAGUGCUUUCCCCCAUUAGAAAUCUUGCUAGCCCUUAAGAUUUUUUUAUUACUAUAUUUCAUUUAUUUAUUUAUGGAUAUUUUAUGACCUGCGUAUUUAAGUUAGAGGACAACUUGUGGGAGUUGGUUCUCUUUCCAUCAUGUGGAUCCUGGGAAUUAAAUUCAUAUUAUCAGGACUGACAGCAGGCACCUUUAGCUGCUUAGUCAUCUUGCCAGCCCUAAAACUUUCCUCCUGUUUUCUUCCCUGGCAAAGGGGAGUUUGUUCUGGUUACAUUCGUCUCCUUUUCUAUUCGCCUCCUUUUCAUGACCAAAAGUGCUAACUGUUGGGAUUUAGUUUGAGUCAGUGUUGUGAGAUUGUUGUAACCAAUGAGGAGAGCACAUGAGACACACUGACGUGAUGUUAUUUAACUCUCCUCUUAAAAUACUUUAGUAGCGCUGGGCAGUGGUGGCACACGCCUUUAAACCCAGCACUCAGGAGGCAGAGGCAGGCGGAUUUCUGAGUUUGAGGCCAGUCUGGUCUACAGAGUUCCAGGACAGCCAGGGCUACACACAGAAACCCUGUCUUGAAAAACUAAAAAAAAGGGGGAGGGAAAGG